rnacentral:rRNA from 1 species
UACGGAAGGCAGCAGUGGGGAAUAUUGCGCAAUGGGCGAAAGCCUGACGCAGCGACGCCGCGUGAGGGACGACGGCCUUCGGGUUGUAAACCUCUUUCAGCUCUGACGAAGCGAAAAGUGACGGUAGGAGCAGAAGAAGCACCGGCCAACUACGUGCCAGCAGCCGCGGUAAUACGUAGGGUGCAAGCGUUGUCCGGAAUUAUUGGGCGUAAAGAGCUCGUAGGCGGUCUGUCGCGUCGAAUGUGAAAACCCGGGGCUCAACCCCGGGCCUGCAUUCGAUACGGGCAGACUAGAGUUCGGUAGGGGAGACUGGAAUUCCUGGUGUAGCGGUGAAAUGCGCAGAUAUCAGGAGGAACACCGGUGGCGAAGGCGGGUCUCUGGGCCGAUACUGACGCUGAGGGAGCGAAAGCGUGGGGAGCAAACAGGGAUUAGAUACC